GUCGACGAUGAACCUCACUUGUGGGGGGAUUAGUGGCGAACGGGUGAGUAACACGUGAGUAACCUGCCCUUAACUCUGGGAUAAGCCUUGGAAACGGGGUCUAAUACCGGAUAUUUACUUCCUGCCGCAUGGUGGGUUGUGGAAAGAUUUAUUGGUUUUGGAUGGACUCGCGGCCUAUCAGCUUGUUGGUGAGGUAAUGGCUUACCAAGGCGACGACGGGUAGCCGGCCUGAGAGGGUGACCGGCCACACUGGGACUGAGACACGGCCCAGACUCCUACGGGAGGCAGCAGUGGGGAAUAUUGCACAAUGGGCGCAAGCCUGAUGCAGCGACGCCGCGUGAGGGAUGAAGGCCUUCGGGUUGUAAACCUCUUUCAGUAGGGAACAAGGCCGGCUUUGGUUGGUUGAGGGUACCUGCAGAAGAAGCGCCGGCUAACUACGUGCCAGCAGCCGCGGUAAUACGUAGGGCGCAAGCGUUAUCCGGAAUUAUUGGGCGUAAAGAGCUCGUAGGCGGUUUGUCGCGUCUGCCGUGAAAGUCCGGGGCUCAACUCCGGAUCUGCGGUGGGUACGGGCAGACUAGAGUGCAGUAGGGGAGACUGGAAUUCCUGGUGUAGCGGUGAAAUGCGCAGAUAUCAGGAGGAACACCGAUGGCGAAGGCAGGUCUCUGGGCUGUAACUGACGCUGAGGAGCGAAAGCAUGGGGAGCGAACAGGAUUAGAUACCCUGGUAGUCCAU
rnacentral:rRNA from 1 species